UCCAAUGUAUCCCAUUUUUGCAUCUCUUCUUAGAUUUUCCUUCAGAGCUUAUCUUUUCUCUUACCAGUAGCCAGUUACUUUAACCAAAUGUUUUAGCAUGCUAAAGAAUAAUUUGAAUACUCUUUUCCUUUCAGGUUUUGGGAGGUUUUUUUUCUUUCUUUCAAAAGAUGCUAGAUAGAUUGGCCAUGGGAUGACUUAUAGAGAGUAUGAUGCAAGCACAUUGAUAUCAUCUGAUGCCUGUGAAAACAGAUAUUUUCUCCCAAGUCUCAUGCUAGAGAUACAAGAUCAAAGGUGAAAGAGAGAACAGCAGAGAGACCAUCCACAGAGGGAGAUGGGCAAUUGUGAAAAGAGGUCGAGAACAGAAUAGGAAAGAAGGAACAGCAGAGCUGGAGGCCAGCGGAAGGACAGAGGCCCAUUGGUGAGAGCUCAAGAGCAAAUGAGAGCUAUAUCCACAGAGCUGAGACCCAAAGCAGAGGGAUGCAGGCACUCCAUCUCCUCUGGAGCAGCUGCGUUGCGCACCUGCCUGUGGGUCUUCACCAUGCUCCUACACGGCUGUGAUGUGCUUUGUCAGAGGUGGCUGCUGAAAUGUUUGCAACCAGGCAGAAACAGCAAAAGCCUGUGUUUGGAAACCUGAGGACUACAGAUUGUUUCCGUGGACUUAUUGGGAUUAUAAUGAAUUAAAACACAAUAAAACAUAACCUGAUUAAGGUUAUUAAGAGGUUAUAUCAUCCUUAAGCCAUACAAAGGCUCAUGAAUAAAGGAGUGGCUGUCAGCUGAGAGGUCUACAGUAUGAUAAAAAACAUGAAAAAACCAAAAAUACUUUCCCACCUGGAAGGCAAUUUUCAGGAGGCCACAACUCCAUGAACCUGAAACUUUGACUGCUGACAAGAAGUUGCUUGAAGCAGAAGUGUUGCAAAGAAGCCGCCUUCCCCACAGCAUCGCUGCCCUGGCUGCUGUCCCCAUCUGCUCGGUGGUGCUGUGGGGCAGGCAUGCCAGCAGGCUCCGAGCAGCAGGUCCCGCGUGCUGCUGAGUUUCUCAUCAAACACCCUGUGCUGCAUGGAUGCCUUCCUCCAGGUACCACGCGCUACAGACAGCCCUGGCUGUGAGUC